UACGAAGGGUGCAAGCGUUAAUCGGAAUUACUGGGCGUAAAGGGUGCGUAGGCGGUUGUUUAAGUCUGUCGUGAAAUCCCCGGGCUCAACCUGGGAAUGGCGAUGGAUACUGGGCAGCUAGAGUGUGUCAGAGGAAGGUGGAAUUCCCGGUGUAGCAGUGAAAUGCGUAGAGAUCGGGAGGAACACCAGUGGCGAAGGCGGCCUUCUGGACCAAUACUGACGCUCAUGCACGAAAGCGUGGGGAGCAAACAGG
rnacentral:rRNA from 1 species